rnacentral:rRNA from 1 species
UACGAAGGGGGCUAGCGUUGCUCGGAAUCACUGGGCGUAAAGCGUGCGCAGGCGGUUCUAUAAGACAGAUGUGAAAUCCCCGGGCUCAACCUGGGAACUGCAUUUGUGACUGUAGAGCUGGAGUACGGUAGAGGGGGAUGGAAUUCCGCGUGUAGCAGUGAAAUGCGUAGAGAUCGGGAGGAACACCAGAGGCGAAGGCGGCGACCUGGAUAGGCACUGACACUCAACUACGAAAGCGUGGGGAGCAAACAGG